GCUGGCGGCGUGGUCAAGACAUGCAAGAUAGCACGGGGUAGCAAUACCCAGUGGCGAACGGGUGAGUAAUGUUUCCCCAACGUACCCCGGAAGCUGGGAUAGCUGCCCGAAAGGGCAGGUAAUACCAGAUGACAUAUCCUGGCCGCAUGGUUGGGAUCUCAAAGGAGCAAUCCGAUCUGGGCGCGGGCGAUAUCGUAUCAGCUAGUUGGUGAGGUAACGGCUCACCAAGGCGACGACGCGUAGCCGGACUGAGAGGUCGGUCGGCCACAUCGGGACUGAGACACUGCCCGGACUCCUACGGGAGGCAGCAGUGGG
rnacentral:rRNA from 1 species